CAAUACACCUAGGAGAGCAAACUCCGAACAAUAAACCCGGGCAGGUGGAGGUCGUCAGCCGUGGUAGGCAAUUCACCUAGGAGAGCAAACUCCGAACAAUAAACCCGGGCAGGUGGAGGUCGUCAGCCGUGGUAGGCAAUUCACCUAGGAGAGCAAACUCCGAACAAUAAACCCGGGCAGGUGGAGGUCGUUAGCCGUGGUAGGCAAUUCACCUAGGAGAGCAAACUCCGAACAACAAACCCGGACAGGUUGGGUUCGUGAGCCGUCAUAGGCAAUACACCUAGGAGAGCAAACUCCGAACAAUAAACCCGGACAGGUUGGGUUCGUGAGCCGUCAUAGGCAAUACACCUAGGAGAGCAAACUCCGAACAAUAAACCCGGACAGGUGGAGGUCGUCAGCCGUGGUAGGCAAUUCACCUAGGAGAGCAAACUCCGAACACCAAACCCGGGCAGGUGGAGGUCGUCAGCCGUGGUAGGCAAUCUGCCUAGGAGAGCAAACUCCGAACAAUAAACCGGGGCUUGUGGAGCUCGUUAAAUGUCGUAGACAAUCCACGUGAUGGGAACACCAAAGAAAAGAAAAAAGAACUCCAGAAAAAGUAAAAUAUAAAAACGAAACAUCAAGAAAAGAAGAAAAACACAGAUCAUCCACCACUAGGCCCUGACAUCGCCAAAAUUAUGGUUGAGUCAUUUCUGGGGAGAAAAUGGCUCAUCCAGACCAAAGAACAUCAAAAAGGGAUGAUAUAAAAGAUAACACCAAAAAAUAUGGAAAAGAAAGAACAAAAAAAUUGAAAAAGAAAAGUAACAGCGAUAAAAAAACAUCAAGAUAAUAAAAUAAAAAGAAACAUCAUCCACCUUUCGGCCCUGACUAACAUCACCAAAAUUAUGGGUGGGUCUCUUCUGGGAGGAAAGCGGCUCACCCAGACCAACGAACAUCAACAAAAGGAUGAUAGGAAAAAAGAAGAUCAAAAAAACAAAAUAACAAAGACAUAAGAAGAAAAAGAAAAGAAAAUACA